rnacentral:rRNA from 1 species
CUUGCUCUCAAGAAGUUAGCGGCGGACGGGUGAGUAACACGUGGGUAACCUGCCCAUAAGACUGGGAUAACUCCGGGAAACCGGGGCUAAUACCGGAUAACAUUUUGAACUGCAUGGUUCGAAAUUGAAAGGCGGCUUCGGCUGUCACUUAUGGAUGGACCCGCGUCGCAUUAGCUAGUUGGUGAGGUAACGGCUCACCAAGGCAACGAUGCGUAGCCGACCUGAGAGGGUGAUCGGCCACACUGGGACUGAGACACGGCCCAGACUCCUACGGGAGGCAGCAGUAGGGAAUCUUCCGCAAUGGACGAAAGUCUGACGGAGCAACGCCGCGUGAGUGAUGAAGGCUUUCGGGUCGUAAAACUCUGUUGUUAGGGAAGAACAAGUGCUAGUUGAAUAAGCUGGCACCUUGACGGUACCUAACCAGAAAGCCACGGCUAACUACGUGCCAGCAGCCGCGGUAAUACGUAGGUGGCAAGCGUUAUCCGGAAUUAUUGGGCGUAAAGCGCGCGCAGGUGGUUUCUUAAGUCUGAUGUGAAAGCCCACGGCUCAACCGUGGAGGGUCAUUGGAAACUGGGAGACUUGAGUGCAGAAGAGGAAAGUGGAAUUCCAUGUGUAGCGGUGAAAUGCGUAGAGAUAUGGAGGAACACCAG